rnacentral:lncRNA from 1 species
GAGGAUAUGCCUCAUUAAAACCUUACUAGAGAAAACUCAUUGGGAAAAAAUCCUAGUGAAGGAAAAAGAGUACAUCAUCCUUUGUGUGUGAACUGCCUCAUUAAAAACCUUACCAAGAAAAACCCAGUGGGACAAAACCAUGGUUAAGGGAAAAAGAGUGCAGAACAUAUUUAUAUCUCCCCCUCAUAAAGACAAUUAUAAAUGAGACGAA